UACGGAGGGUGCAAACGUUGCUCGGAAUCAUUGGGCGUAAAGAGCGUGUAGGCGGCCAGAUAAGUCCGCUGUGAAAACUCGAGGCUCAACUUCGAGCUGUCGGUGGAAACUAUUUGGCUAGAGUCCGGAAGAGGAGAGUGGAAUUCCUGGUGUAGCGGUGAAAUGCGCAGAUAUCAGGAAGAACACCCGUGGCGAAGGCGGCUCUCUGGUACGGAACUGACGCUGAGACGCGAAAGCGUGGGGAGCGAACAGG
rnacentral:rRNA from 1 species